rnacentral:rRNA from 1 species
AUGUGUGCAGCAAUCGCAUACGAGUCCAGCCAAGACGACAUCAACAAAACUCUCGCUUUGUUUUCAAGCAUGCAAGCCGAGAACAAAGGUUUUUACUUUGCGGUGAAGACUGACGAUGAAAGAAGGGUAUCUGGAUUGUAUUGGUGCCAUCAAAAAAGCAGGGCAGAUUAUACAUGUUUUGGUGAUGUUGUGACUUUUGAUACAACAUAUAAGAGCAACCUAUACGAGAUGCCUGUAGGCAUGUUCAUCGGCGUAAACAAUCAUUAUCAAUGUUGUGUUUUUGGCUGUGUUGUGCUUCGUGAAGAAACUGUAGAAUCUUUCGAGUGGGCAUACGAAACUUUCUUAUCUUCAGUGGACAACAAAGUACCCAAGACGUUCUUGACAGAUCAAAGCAGGCAGAUGGAGCUUGCAAUUGCUUCAGUCAUGCCAACCACUAUCCACAGAUGGUGCAAAUGGCACGUUUUCAAAAAGAUGAAGGAAAAAGUGGGCAACGUAUACAGAAAGGGUUCUGCAUUCCGCAUAGAGUUUGACAUGCUCAUCAAUGAGAUGAUGACCGUGGAUGAGUUUGAAAAAGAGUGGGAUGUAUUAAUGUAUACAUAUGGUCUCGACAGAAACUCAUUCAUGAAGCAAGUUUAUGAGGUUAGGGUAAAGUGGGCGAAACCAUACCUGAAGGACAACUUCUGCGCAAAGAUGUGCAGCACUCAAAGAAGCGAGUGCACGAACAAUGUUUUAAAAAGCUAUGUCGCAAGAUCAGCACCUCUCAACAGUUUCGUCAUCCAAUUCAAUAAAAUGUAUGCCGACAGAUGUGCCGAAGAGGACUACGAGCAUGCCCAUACAAACAAGGACAAGGCAGUUAUCAAAUUCAAUAUUCCAAUAGAACGCCAUGCAUCGAAUGUCUACACAAGAACCAUGUUUAGGAUCUUCUCAGAGGAGCUGUAUCAAUCUGGCCCGUACGAAGUUAUAGGACAACAGCUC